UACGUAGGGUGCAAGCGUUGUCCGGAAUUAUUGGGCGUAAAGAGCUCGUAGGCGGUUCGUCACGUCGGGAGUGAAAACUCGGAGCUUAACUCCGAGCCUGCUUCCGAUACGGGCAGACUAGAGGUAGGCAGGGGAGAGCGGAACUCCUGGUGUAGCGGUGGAAUGCGCAGAUAUCAGGAAGAACACCGGUGGCGAAGGCGGCUCUCUGGGCCUUACCUGACGCUGAGGAGCGAAAGCGUGGGGAGCAAACAGG
rnacentral:rRNA from 1 species